GGUUUUUUGUUGUUAUAAAAAAUCUGGUCUGCUCACUGCUAAGAGUAAAUAGCCGCAGUAUAUUGACUGUGCUAAGGUAGCAUAAUCAUUUGCCUUUUAAUUGAAGGCUAGCAUGAAUGAUUUUACGUGAUAAGGUCUGUCUCCAGUAAAGUGUUUGAAUUUGAUUAGCUGGUAAAAAGGCCAUGAUAUUACUGGGGGACGAUAAGACCCUGUUAAGCUUAAUUUUUGAAUUUUACUGGGGCGGUAAUUUAAGAUUAGGAUCUUAAUAACAUGGAUUGAGGUAUCAGACCCAAUAUUAUUGAGUAUUAGAUAAAGCUACUACAGGGAUAACAGCUUAAUUUUUCUAAAAAGUUCUUAUUUUAAGAAAAGCUUGUGACCUCGAUGUUGAAUAAAUGUUCUGUUUGGCGAAGUAGCUGAAUAAGAUAGUCUGUUCGACUAUUAAGAUUUUACG
rnacentral:rRNA from 1 species